GACGAACGCUGGCGGCGUGCUUAACACAUGCAAGUCGAACGAUGAAGUUCCUUCGGGAAUGGAUUAGUGGCGAACGGGUGAGGAACACGUGAGAAACCUGCCUUUCAUUUUGGGAUAACUCCGGGAAACCGGGGCUAACACCGAAUACUCCGUCUCGGCGGCAUCGCUGAGCCGGGAAAAAAUUUUGAUGAAAGAUGGUCUCGCGGCCUAUCAGCUAGUUGGUGAGGUAAUGGCUCACCAAGGCAACGACGGGUAGCCGGCCUGAGAGGGCGACCGGCCACACUGGGACUGAGACACGGCCCAGACUCCUACGGGACGCAGUAGUGGGGAAUAUUGGGCAAUGGGCGCAAGCCUGACCCAGCGACGCCGCGUGAGGGAUGAAGGCCUUCGGGUUGUAAACCUCUUUCAGUAGGGAAGAAGCGAAAGUGACGGUACCUAAAGAAGAAGCACCGGCUAACUAUGUGCCAGCCGCCGCAGUAA
rnacentral:rRNA from 1 species